UCUUUCUUUAUUCUUCUCUCUCCUCUCUCUUCUCCCCCACUCCCCCACGUGACCAAAUCCCCUCCUUCCUCCUUCGUGCAAACCAGCGAACCAGGAAGAGGAAGACAGCAGCUCGUCGAAGCCCGUCGCCGCCGCAUCGGAGCUAGACCUCCACCCACGUGAUGCCCGCCCGCGCAUGCCCCACGCUCCGCCGCCUCCCGCCCGCGCCUGCCGUCCUCGCCGUGUGUCGUCCAGCCCUGUUCGGCCUCUGCUCAACCCCUGUUCUGCCCCGUCCGGCCAUCUCCGGCCACCGUUUGAAGCUGUCGGACCUCUACCGGCCCUCCCCCGCACCUUGCCGCCCUUGUUGAAGUGAUUUGUGGUUGUUUUGUGUUCUUUUUCAGCGUGCGCAGCCACCACCGAGUGGGUUUCCAGCCCCCUUCAGGCUCGCUUUUGGGCCGUUUUCGGGCCCCAGACCUUAACCGUGCUUUGGGCUUAUCGUUCCUCAUGUCGUCUCCGUCGGAUUGAUACGUUUUGUGCUUAAUUCCAAUGAAUAAUCUCUCUAAUCCCUGCUUAGUUUUCUAAUUAUGCUUAGGGGUUGGUUAGGUUUAAUUAAAUGCAAUUAGGUGGUUAGAUUAGAAUAAAUUAGUGAUUAUUAGAAAAAUGUGAUGCAUAUUAGACAAUUUGAUUGCGCAAUUAGCAAGUAGACGUAGUCUACUAUUUAUUGAAAGUAUCUCGGGAUUUUUCCCAACCCUUAGCGAGCUUCAAUUAGGCAAUUUGGGCAUAAAUUGGAUUUUUAGUAAUUAAUUAUUAAUUUUCGAAAUUAAUUAAUUAAAUUUUUUUUUUCCAAA
rnacentral:lncRNA from 1 species